rnacentral:rRNA from 1 species
UACGUAGGGGGCAAGCGUUGUCCGGAUUUAUUGGGCGUAAAGGGCGCGUAGGUGGCCACCAUAAGGCCGCGGUGAAAGUUUGGGGCUCAACCCCAGAUCGGCCGCGGCGACUGUGGGGCUGGGGCACUGUAGAGGCAGAUGGAAUUCCGGGUGUAGCGGUGGGAAUGCGUAGAGAUCCGGAAGAACACCAGUGGCGAAGGCGGUCUGCUGGGCAGUGGGAGCUUCGGGCUCUCUUUG